UACAGAAGGUGCGAGCGUUAAUCGGAUUUACUGGGCGUAAAGGGCGCGUAGGUGGUAAAGCAAGUAAGAUGUGAAAGCCCCAGGCUUAACCUGGGAAGUGCAUCUUAAACUGCUUAACUAGAGUAUGUUAGAGGGUAGUGGAAUUUCCGGUGUAGCGGUGAAAUGCGUAGAUAUCGGAAGGAACGCCAGUGGUGAAGACGACUACCUGGAACAAUACUGACACUGAGGCGCGAAAGCGUGGGGAUCAAACAGG
rnacentral:rRNA from 1 species